UACGGAGGAUCCAAGCGUUAUCCGGAAUCAUUGGGUUUAAAGGGUCCGUAGGCGGUUUGGUAAGUCAGUGGUGAAAGCCCUUCGCUCAACGGAGGAACGGCCAUUGAUACUGCCAGACUUGAAUUACUGGGAAGUAACUAGAAUAUGUAGUGUAGCGGUGAAAUGCUUAGAUAUUACAUGAAUACCAAUUGCGAAGGCAGGUUACUACCAGUGGAUUGACGCUGAUGGACGAAAAGCGUGGGG
rnacentral:rRNA from 1 species